rnacentral:lncRNA from 1 species
UGCAAACAUGCCACAGCCAGGGGGUAGAGGUCAGAGGACAACUUUUAUGUAGUUCGUGCUCUCUAUGCCUUCUGUUUCCACCUUUAUGUGGGUCCCAGGUACUGAACUCAGGCUGCCAGGCUUGCACAGCAAGCACUUUGCCUGCAGAGCCAUUUUACCAGCACUGUCUUUAUUUUAGUUUUAGUGUUUUGAGACCAGGUCUCUCAUGUGUCCAUGGCUGGUCUUGAGUUCACUGUGUAGCAAGCAGUUAAUGACCUUGAACUUCUGAUCCUCCUGCCCCAAACUCCAAGUGCUAUGAUUACAGGCCAGUAUCACGACUCCUAACUUUUACGUCUUACCUCAGUACUUAUUUUUAAGGACACAAAGGCUACCUUGCUACUAUGUAAACAAUAGGCAGCAAUACUGUUCAUUAAGGUUACUUUUUAAAACUUUCAUGUUAAUUGACUAUCUGUAAGAUUAAUGGGUUGCUGUUUUGUGGAACAUCCCUAAUCCAGAAGUCCAGGGGGAAAUUCUCCAAAAUCCAAAACUCUGCAAGCACCAAAUAUUAUGUAAAAUUAUCUUCAAGCCAUAUGUGGUUAUUGUGAGACGCUGUCUUCCAGGUACCACUACCAUCACCCACAAGAGACCUUAACAAGAUCCUGCUGUCCUUCUGUCAUAGAAGGAAGGGGUGGGAUUGGUCAUUAGACCCUCACCUCCAAUUCUAGUGCCUCUCUCCCUUCUGCACCCCUGAGCAAGCUGCCUGUAACCCUGCUGCAGUGGUCUUUGGAGGUGCUGGAGUACACAGAGGGUCGCUGAAGGGGGCUUCACCUGUGUAGCUUCCUGGAGGUCAUCACCCAUGCUGAGACAAGAUAGGACUUUCAGUGAUGUAGCUGUUUGCGGUCACUCACAACUCCUGGUUUAGAAGAAAGUGAGGGACUGGCAUCAGGCCUGGAAACUGAAUGGACCUGACUGUGAAAUCCCAUAUAAAUGGAAGCCCUGGCUGGACCACACUGUUUGCUUCCCUGUCCUUUCCUGCUAGAGAAACACCUGUG